rfam:Ictidomys tridecemlineatus contig014089, whole genome shotgun sequence.
UGGGAUAUAGCUCAGUUGGUAGAGUGCUUGCCUCUUUUGCACAAGGACCUGGGUUCAAUCCUCAGCAACCCAC